rnacentral:lncRNA from 1 species
ACCCUAUUGUAAAGUCACAAGCUCUAGGCCCCACCCUUUAUCUGUCUGUCCCAGGCUUCACUCGGCGUUCCUCCCCAGGGCCGGGGCGUGGCGAUGAAGGGCGGUCGAGAUCUUAAGGCCGCUCGGGGCGGAGCAGACCGCCCCCUGGCUCCAGCCUACGCCCCGUGCCGCCCUGGGCGCCUCCAACGCCACCUCCUGAGCGGCGAGUUCGACCAGCUGCGCGACUUUCCCAUCUUUGAAAGCAACUUCGUGCAGGUGUGGAGCCCCGGACCUCCGACCCGUUGAUGUACGGAUCUCCCCCAUCAUUUGUCGUUCUUUCCAAGUGAUCCACAUCACCUCUGAGCCCGCUGGGCUUUUUGUGUCUUC